rnacentral:rRNA from 1 species
GAUGAACGCCGGCGGCGUGCCUAAUACAUGCAAGUCGAGCGAACGGACGAGAAGCUUGCUUUUCUGAUGUUAGCGGCGGACGGGUGAGUAACACGUGGAUAACCUACCUAUAAGACUGGGAUAACUUCGGGAAACCGGAGCUAAUACCGGAUAAUAUUUUGAACCGCAUGGUUCAAAAGUGAAAGACGGUCUUGCUGUCACUUAUAGAUGGAUCCGCGCUGCAUUAGCUAGUUGGUAAGGUAACGGCUUACCAAGGCAACGAUGCAUAGCCGACCUGAGAGGGUGAUCGGCCACACUGGAACUGAGACACGGUCCAGACUCCUACGGGAGGCAGCAGUAGGGAAUCUUCCGCAAUGGGCGAAAGCCUGACGGAGCAACGCCGCGUGAGUGAUGAAGGUCUUCGGAUCGUAAAACUCUGUUAUUAGGGAAGAACAUAUGUGUAAGUAACUGUGCACAUCUUGACGGUACCUAAUCAGAAAGCCACGGCUAACUACGCG